AGAGUGAACGCUGGCGGCAGGCCUAACACAUGCAAGUCGAACGGCAGCACAGAGGAGCUUGCUCCUUGGGUGGCGAGUGGCGGACGGGUGAGGAAUACGUCGGAAUCUGCCUAUUUGUGGGGGAUAACGUAGGGAAACUUACGCUAAUACCGCAUACGACCUACGGGUGAAAGCGGAGGACCUUCGGGCUUCGCGCAGAUAGAUGAGCCGACGUCGGAUUAGCUAGUUGGCGGGUAAAGGCCCACCAAGGCGACGAUCCGUAGCUGGUCUGAGAGGAUGAUCAGCCACACUGGAACUGAGACACGGUCCAGACUCCUACGGGAGGCAGCAGUGGGGAAUAUUGGACAAUGGGCGCAAGCCUGAUCCAGCCAUGCCGCGUGUGUGAAGAAGGCCUCGGUUGUAAAGCACUUUUGUACGGAAGAAAAGACUUUACGGUUAAUACCCGGAAGUUACGUGAACGGUACCGUAAGAAUAAAGACAACCGGCUAACUUCGACGCCAGUACGCCGCGGUAACUCUA
rnacentral:rRNA from 1 species